rnacentral:tRNA from 1 species
GCCGGGAUAGCUCAGCGGUAGAGCAGGGGUUUUGUAAACCUCAGGUCGGGGGUUCGAAUCCCUUUCCCGGCU